rnacentral:rRNA from 1 species
GAUUAGAGUUUGAUCCUGGCUCAGAACGAACGCUGGCGGCAGGCCUAACACAUGCAAGUCGAGCGCACCCUUCGGGGUGAGCGGCGGACGGGUGAGUAACGCGUGGGAAUAUGCCCUUUGGUACGGAAUAGUCCUGGGAAACUGGGGGUAAUACCGUAUGCGCCCUUCGGGGGAAAGAUUUAUCGCCAAAGGAUUAGCCCGCGUUGGAUUAGGUAGUUGGUGGGGUAAUGGCCUACCAAGCCGACGAUCCAUAGCUGGUUUGAGAGGAUGAUCAGCCACACUGGGACUGAGACACGGCCCAGACUCCUACGGGAGGCAGCAGUGGGGAAUCUUAGACAAUGGGGGCAACCCUGAUCUAGCCAUGCCGCGUGAGUGAUGAAGGCCCUAGGGUUGUAAAGCUCUUUCAGCUGGGAAGAUAAUGACGGUACCAGCCGCAG